AUUCAAAGCAGUUUACACCAUAAACCAGAUAUCCAAACUAAUGAUUUUCUUUAGGAGAAUUUCAGCAAAAGAGACUGAUAGCGAUGGAUCGAACUCUGGGAGGGAAUAAAGAAAAAAGGGCAUUCAUAGAGACGACUACCUACAUCUCAUGUGUAGGCGAGUAUUUUUUUCAUCUUAAUCCCUUCCAUGUCAGCUCCUCUAUCACCGUUAAGUUGCCAUGUUGGACCAUAACCCCA
rnacentral:lncRNA from 1 species